GGAUGCGAUCAUACCAGCACUAACGAACCGAAUUCUAUCAGAACUCCAAAGUUAAGCGUGCUUGGGCGAGAGUAGUAUUAGGAUAGGUGACCCCCUGGGAAGUCCUCGUGUUGCAUUUA
rnacentral:rRNA from 1 species